CUAUACACAUUGGUUUAACAUUUUACUUUGCCACUUCAAGUUCUAACCGUGAUGCAGCCAGCAGGACAUUCUAAUGGUUUCCACUGUGAUUCCACUUUUAGAACUGUGUCCUGGAAUUGUUCUUAACAUAUGAAUCCCAUUGGGAGUUUGAAUUGGUGCAAAUGUAUACUAGGUUAGCCAAUAGGUUGCUAUGCUUGUGGUGCUUUUGGUGUUUAGUUGUU